AUCCUUUUAUGAAUCCUAAGUGUGACGAUUGGGUUUUUAAACUCAUGUGUAAGAAGUGCCUCUCUCAAACCUUGUUACAACAUGGGCACAUUACCAGUCUGAUG